UACGGGGGGGGUAAGCGUUGUUCGGAAUUACUGGGCGUAAAGGGCUCGUAGGCGGCCAACUAAGUCAGACGUGAAAUCCCUCAGCUUAACUGGGGAACUGCGUCUGAUACUGGAUGGCUUGGAUCCGGGAGAGGGAUGCGGAAUUCCAGGUGUAGCGGUGAAAUGCGUAGAUAUCUGGAGGAAUACCGGUGGCGAAGGCGGCAUCCUGGACCAUUACUGACGCUGAGGCGCGAAAGCUAGGGGAGCAAACGGG
rnacentral:rRNA from 1 species